UACGUAGGGGGCAAGCGUUAUCCGGAUUCACUGGGUGUAAAGGGAGCGUAGACGGCGACGCAAGUCUGGAGUGAAAGCCCGGGGCCCAACCCCGGGACUGCUCUGGAAACUGCGGCGCUGGAGUACGGGAGGGGCAGGCGGAAUUCCUGGUGUAGCGGUGAAAUGCGUAGAUAUCAGGAGGAACACCGGCGGCGAAAGCGGCUCUCUGGUCUGUAACUGACGCUGAGGCUCGAAAGCGUGGGUAGCGAACAGG
rnacentral:rRNA from 1 species